rnacentral:pre_miRNA from 2 species
GGUGUACAGGCAUCUGAUGAAGCUGCCAGCAUGAUCUAAUUAACUUUCUUUCUCUGUUGAUUUUAUGACAAUGGAAAAGAGAUGAGUGUCGAUUAGAUCAUGUUCGCAGUUUCACCCAUUGACUGUCGCACC